CAUUGAAACAGUGUGAUAAACCAAGAGUGACGAAAUAUCAAAUAAGUAGCCAUGUCAGUGAAACUAAGCGAGACAUCCAGGCAGACCCUAAACAGUGAAACGAGUAUUUAGAGGUCUUUUGUUCCUGUAGGAGGCACCGGAAUACUAACAGCAUCUGACAGCCUGGCAGACACGGACCCGAGUUGAGAUUCAUUUUCACUUAUGAUAUUCAAGAGAAUACAUAGAGUGCUUCAGCUGCAGUGACGUGAACCUCAUCGUAAAAUCUACAUUGAACACCAGGUGCUACUCAGUAUGCACUGUUUUAAAAGCAGAUCACUGAUGAAUCGCAUGUCUCUACAGAGUAGCGUGUAUGAACUUGAGGGUGGAUGCCUCCAAUCGCAGUCAGGUCUGCCAUUAAUGGAUGUUGGGUGCCAUUUUGCCACAGUAAUGUUACACGUUGCCAACCACAGCCUCAGCUAAAGCCAAGAGAGCUCUGCACCUAAAGCUGCCAUAAAGUCAGUGUCUUUAUGGCAGCUAGACACCAGAUCCCUGGCUGGGUAACCUAGCCUGGCUGUUCUCCCAUGAGGCCUGCCUGAAUUAAUCAUGGCUGAGCAGCCAAGCAGCCACUGGGCCGUAACACAAAGCACAAACAGGCUUCUAUGGUCUCCAUGGAGAACGACAUGGGGAGGAUGGCAGGGCAAACUGGUGCACCAGAACCAGAAUUUGUAUCUAUUGCCGGAGCUCUGCUUGUACUCAAGGUUACCUGAUAGCCAGAGCAAUCAAGGAUUAAGACUUCUGGAAAGCUGUGAUUACAAAUGCAAUGUCAAAUAUGACAUUAGAAUCCACAGGGCAAAAAACGUCUUUCAUACCAAAUCCUAGUUAAAACAAAAUGUGUCAACAGUAUUUAUGGGCUGCACAAUAGGGCCUUUGAAGGAAAAUAAUUCUAAAUACUUCCAAAUAAUCAAUACACAAUACGCACACAGGAACUGAUAUGCACUAUUGAUACCUUAUAUAU